AUGAACGCUGGCGGCGUGCCUAAUACAUUCAAGUCGAGCGAACAGACGAGGAGCUUGCUCCUCUGACGUUAGCGGCGGACGGGUGAGUAACACGUGGAUAACCUACCUAUAAGACUGGGAUAACUUCGGGAAACCGGAGCUAAUACCGGAUAAUAUAUUGAACCGCAUGGUUCAAUAGUGAAAGACGGUUUUGCUGUCACUUAUAGAUGGAUCCGCGCCGCAUUAGCUAGUUGGUAAGGUAACGGCUUACCAAGGCAACGAUGCGUAGCCGACCUGACAGGGUGAUCGGCCACACUGGAACUGAGACACGGUCCAGACUCCUACGGGAGGCAGCAGUAGGGAAUCUUCCGCAAUGGGCGAAAGCCUGACGGAGCAACGCCGCGUGAGUGAUGAAGGUCUUCGGAUCGUAAAACUCUGUUAUUAGGGAAGAACAAAUGUGUAAGUAACUAUGCACGUCUUGACGGUACCUAAUCAGAAAGCCACGGCUAACUACGUG
rnacentral:rRNA from 1 species